CUGCCCAUGAGUGUUCUGAUAAACUGAAUAGUUUUGAACUCUAAAUAGAUCUGAUCUAGUUAAUCAUUAUUGUCGGUAUCCAAGGAGGAAUGAUAAAGACAGGAAGUAUGUGUAGAAUUCUACAGCAAAGCAAGUAUAAAAGGGUGGAAGAGAAGAAGGCUGAAGAGGAAAGGCUCCAUCAUCGUGAUCCACAGAGGCUUGGGACAUUGUAAUAGGGGUGAACAGCUUCUGAGCAGAUGCACACUGAUAAUCACCUUGCACGUUUAUGAGAGGAUACAGUCUCUUUCCAGCAGACUUUUUGAUGGCCACCGAUCCAGAUCUCCAGGUUCAGUUGUGCAGUACUGUGGUGGGCUGACCUUGGCUAAGGGUCAAACGCCCACCUACUUUCACACUUCUGCUCUGCAAUUGUUUUCCAACUGCCUCUUUACUAAUGCCUUGCCAGGUUUCUGGCUAUUCUAGCUAUACUAAUUGACUUCUUACUGGUCAAAAUUCCCCAGGAACCUUCGCAGCUGGACAGACAAAAAUGAAGUUCAGGCACUGUCACAUUUUCUUCACUCACAGAAGCUAGGGACAUCCCAAUUUUCGAUCUCUCUUCGCUGAGCUAUUGCGUUUCUUAUCAAAGAUGAUGAAGAGUUCUGGUUCUGCUGAUGUCAUUCGCUCCUCUCAAGCAUAAGAUAUCCUGUCAAGACUACCAACGGGAAGAUGCUAUAUGAGACAGUGACAGCUAACAGAAAUAGUCCAGGGGUCCCAGCAAAAGUGAUCUGCUUAUAAGCUGCUCCCUGUUCAACGUGGCUGAGUACCUUGGUGUAAUUUCCAGUUUGGAUCUUAAAAGGGAUCAACAAAAGCCUGCAUGCCACGCUUAUGAAAAUCUGCACCAAUGGAGGUGACCCACUGCCGCUGCUGCUACUGCUGAAAUGCACCACCCAUCACCUCACUGUUCUCACUUCCACUGUUUGGUCUCCGUAACACGCAACAAGUAUCAGUGAAUGUCAGUGGGUGACAUUUUUUCCACAUGCAGGAAUUCAGUGACAUAACCUUGCUCCAUUGGCACUUCCAUGCCAGACACCAUUCUAUCAGACUGCCCCUCUGCUGCCAUCUAUUACAGGGCAACAAAAUGUAAUGGAAUACUGGUGGGAAGGUCCAACCUCUAUUGUGGUACCACUGCCUCUGACAUCAUGGGCCGACAUUAUAAUUUUGGGCGCAUUACUUUCAGAGCCACCCUUGUACUAGGCUCAACAAGUCUUCUGCUCAUACGUCUCUUGGAAGAAAACAAUUUAUGUUUAGGAGACGCGACCAAAAGUGGCAGCAAUUGUCUUGGAGACUGGAUUUUGGAGCUGUUAAAAACAUUUCAAUCAUCUGUAAAUUACUUGAGAAGUUGAAGUAAUCAAUUCAAUAAUAGUAGGUGCUGGCAGUGCUCUUGGCUUUGUUUUUGCACUGUUUUGGGGUAGGUGUGGAGAAGAGGGGAUAUCACACACUGAGGAACCACUAAGACCCUGUCUGCUGUAUGCAGCUCUGUAUUUCCCCUGAUGAUUGUGCAUGAACCUCAAACUGACUCCAGAAAAUUACAACUGCAGCUCAUCAGUUAAACUCAGUUUCCUGCCAUGACAAAGAACUGAACAGUCAUAACCAAAGGAAGAAAAAUUUGAGCUAUUUUGGGACAAGAAAAAGGCAAUGUGGCUUUUUUAAUGAGAAAGGCAUCUUCCAGUGAAGGAAACAGACUUUUGUGACAGAGCUGUGGAGCUGCUGUUUCUCUGGCAGACAGUUUCAGGCUGCAUUCCUGUUUAAUUGGCAUCAAGCCCAGCAUCAAGCCCAUCUUCAGAGCUACACUUUCCUCUGAGUUUUAAUUUGUACUUAAAAACUAUGCUCCAGUGGCUGAACUUCAUAUUCCCUCACCUACUGCUUUUUCUCUCAGAAAGAAACUGCACUCACUCAGGUGCCAUCACCAGGCUGUUCCUCACCACGUCUCCUCUGCUUCACUGCCGGCACUGCACCUGAGGGGACACACCCAGUCUACAAGCAAUCAGACAAUUGACACAGAGGUGGUUUAAGUUUAACACAGAAGCUUACUAGGCACAUGAA
ensembl:lncRNA